AACGAACGCUGGCGGCAUGCCUAACACAUGCAAGUCGAACGAAAACUUCGGGUCUAGUUUCGCACUGGUGCGUAACGCGUGGGAACAUGCCCUUAGGUUCGGAAUAACUCCCCGCCACGGCUGCUAAUACCGGCUAGUGUCUUCGGACCAAUGCUUUAUCGCCUUUGGAUGGGCCCGCGUUGGUUUAGCUAGUUGGUAGGGUAAAAGCCUACCAAGUCGAGGCUCCUUAGCUGGUCUGAGAGGAUGAUCAGCCACACUGGGACUGAGACACGGCCGAGACUCCUACGGGAAGCAGCAGUGGGGAAUAUUGGACAAUGGGCGAAAGCCUGAGGCAGCAAUGCCGCGUGAGUGAUGAAGGUCUUAGGGUUGUAAAGCUCUUUUACCCGGGAGGGUAAUGACGGUAGCGGGAGAAUAAGCACCGGCUAACUCCGUG
rnacentral:rRNA from 1 species